rnacentral:rRNA from 1 species
UACGAAGGGGGCUAGCGUUGCUCGGAAUCACUGGGCGUAAAGGGUGCGUAGGCGGGACUUUAAGUCGGGGGUGAAAGCCCGGGGCUCAACCUCGGAAUUGCCUUCGAUACUGGACAUCUUGAGUACGGGAGAGGUGAGUGGAACUCCGAGUGUAGAGGUGAAAUUCGUAGAUAUUCGGAAGAACACCAGUGGCGAAGGCGACUCACUGGCCCGUUACUGACGCUGAGGCGCGAAAGCGUGGGGAGCAAACAGG